UACAGAGGGUGCAAGCGUUAAUCGGAAUUACUGGGCGUAAAGCGUGCGUAGACGGUUAUGUAAGUCGGGUGUGAAAGCCCCGGGCUCAACCUGGGAAUUGCAUUCGAGACUGCAUAGCUAGGGUGCGGAAGAGGGAAGCGGAAUUUCCGGUGUAGCGGUGAAAUGCGUAGAUAUCGGAAGGAACACCAGUGGCGAAAGCGGCUUCCUGGUCCAGCACCGACGUUCAGGCACGAAAGCGUGGGGAGCAAGCAGG
rnacentral:rRNA from 1 species